rnacentral:tRNA from 1 species
GGGCGCGUAGCUCAGUAGGUAGAGCAGCGGCCUUUUAAGCCGCGGGUCCCAGGUUCGAGUCCUGGCGCGCUCA